UACGGAGGGUGCAAGCGUUACUCGGAAUCACUGGGCGUAAAGAGCGUGUAGGCGGGUUUGUAAGUUUGAAGUGAAAUCCAAUGGCUCAACCAUUGAACUGCUUUGAAAACUGCUUACCUAGAAUAUGGGAGAGGUAGAUGGAAUUUCUGGUGUAGGGGUAAAAUCCGUAGAGAUCAGAAGGAAUACCGAUUGCGAAGGCGAUCUACUGGAACAUUAUUGACGCUGAGACGCGAAAGCGUGGGGAGCAAACAGG
rnacentral:rRNA from 1 species